rnacentral:rRNA from 1 species
GACGUAGGGGGCGAGCGUUGUCCGGAUUUAUUGGGCGUAAAGAGCUCGUAGGCGGCUCGUUGCGUCGGCUGUGAAAACCCGCAGCUCAACUGUGGGCUUGCAGCUGAUACGGGCAGGCUUGAGUUCGGUAGGGGAGACUGGAAUUCCUGGUGUAGCGGUGAAAUGCGCAGAUAUCAGGAGGAACACCGGUGGCGAAGGCGGGUCUCUGGGCCGAUACUGACGCUGAGGAGCGAAAGCGUGGGGAGCGAACAGG